CUCUUUACAGACCAGACUUAUAUUCUUGUUGAUAAAUCUAAGUACAUUUUAGAGGUUGAUAGGAAUUGGCAGCUCCUGUUGUUGGCCUAAUUAGAAGAUGCAGUGUGUUAAUCUGCAGAAUAGUUAUUCACAUCACCCAGACUACUUGAGCACUCCCAUUUGAAAUGUUCACUUUCCAAAGGAAGGAAGCAAAGCCCAGUUUUCUUCCCGUGAUGCACCAUUAUAGUGUCAACUAAAGCUACGAUGCCUUUGAUGGCAUUGCCUGAAAGAUCCUCCCCCAACUCUUCACUCUCUUCUAAAACCUUUCCUGGCUCUGCAUGCAUUGCUUCUUUGCCAACUUUCUGCAAGCACUCAAGGAACAGAUACAAAUAUUUACACAAAUAUUUAUAUUAAACCAAUGAUUUGUUAUUGUUAUUUGCAAUGAAAACAAAAUCUCAGACAACGGAAUCACUUAUUCAGGUGCCGGAUGGAUGGACGGACUGACGGACAGACGGACCGACGGAUGGAUGGAUGGAUGGAUGGAUGGAUGGAUGGAUGGAUGGGAAGAAAAUAAUAAAUAGGCAAUGUAAAGGUGGGUGGAUAUUUGGAUGGGUGAUUAGAUGGCUGUUGAUCAGUUGAUAAGAUGGGAAAAGAGGAGCGAAGAGGAAAGAUAGGAAAAUUAAUCAAUAUUUGAGUACAUUAGUAGAACGUAGAUGAUUUGUUUGGACAGAUGGAUGAAUUAGUAAAAUAGACUAGACUAGAUAUGAUGAGUAAAUAUGUUUGUAGACAGGCAGUUUUUUUUAGUAGACUGAUAGGAGUAUGGUUGAGUGGAAUGAUAAGAGGCUGGGUGAUCAUGGAUGGAGGGAAUUAUGGACAAUUCUGAUGGUCUGAGUGAAUGGGCAAGUGGAAGAAGAGUAGGUAAAGUCAGUACCCGUAUCAGGACAGAUAGGACAGCAUUCUCCGAAGGGGAUGUGAGGAUGGGGGCAGUCCGAUGUGUGUUCACAGAUCACCUCGUCGCAAAGGAUGUUACCGCUGUCGCACACGCAGAUCUGGCAGUUUUCUGGUUUCCAAACAUCUUUGUCAUUGUACGUUAUUCCGUCCUGUAUGCAGCUUCCAGAUGGAACUAAAGAAAGAGACAACACAAGAAAUAAGGUGGAUGAGAGAAGAGGUGAAGGAUUGUCUAGGAGCCAGCAGUGUCAGUAGAAUACAUGAAUCGACAAAGGAGCAAACUGGAGAAUCUCUUGUGAUAGAUCAAUUUGGAGAAAGCAUAAUGUUUUAUAAAAUUGCUUUGGAUUGGCGGCUUCCUUUCCCUCCUCCCCUCCACUUACACUGACAUUUUGUGUGUGUGUUCUAAAACCUCAUCUGCUUUUCAUCAAGAAAACUCUAUGACACAGGAAAUGAGCCAGCCUCACAAUAACUCUUUCCAGUUGCUUUGGAAUUUAAACAAAACCUCUGGCCAGUUGUUACAUCCAACUGGUAACCUCAACAUUCUGAGCUGAAGCCAAACCAAACGCACACAAAAAAAGAGAAAGAAAUCAACAGCCUUCCGAAAAGGAGAAGAGAUAAAGAGGAGAGAGACUCAGGAAUUAGGACUGAAGGAGGACCCACAUAGGGGAAUAAAUUGUAUCCUACUAAGGGCAUGUGGCCUUGGGAAACUGGAUCCAGUGCAAACAAUUUAAGUAGGCAGAGAAGUCAGCAGGUGUGCACCAUGACGGGGCAGGUUUACAAGGCAGGUGAGAUGGCCUCCCACCUUAGGUGAAAUCUGAUGCCAACUUGUUCAGAAACCAGAAACUGUGGAACAUACCUAAGCCAAGGAUGGUACCAAGAGAUAUGCCAAGAACAAAUGAUGGAGAAGAAGUAAGGAUUUAUUUCCUAGCACAUUUUGUUAGUUUGUUUUAAAAAUUGAAGGAUUGUGCAUAUUUCUCCCUUUUAAAAUUGUACACUGAACUUUUAAAAUGAUAGAGGUUUUACUUUAUCAUGGCGGGGGGGGAAUGAAAAGAAAGAAAACCUGCUAUUCUUGGAAGAAGUACAGAAUAAGGGGGGGAAACCAAAAAAGAGCCAAGGAGAUGUGGCAACAUGAAACUCAUGUUUGAUAACACCAUGCUGGAAUGUUGCAGGAAAAUUUCCCAUCAGCCACUAGAUGGCAGCAAAAACUUCCAUAAUUGGAAUCAAGAAGAUAUCAUUUCACAAAUGUUAUCUGCUUCUUGGGAUAUUAAUUGUUCCCCAGUGGAGGAUUGUUCAGUAAACCUGUUUAGUUGAUGACCCCGGAAACAGACUCUCUUUGAUUAGUGCUGACCCGUAUUAAGGCCACUCCCCCAAACCCCACCCCAGACAAGGCUGUGUAAGAAAGCCUUACUAGCCAAAGGCAAGAGUGAGUCUGUUGAUGGCCAGCAGAUGUCACCAUUGGACUUUGUUGUCUAGAGAAAAUUAUUCCCUCCAAAUCCUUUACUAUCCAAAAGGCUUUGUCUAUGAAGUGAUGUCUAGACUCUCGUGCUUUAUAGGGACAUGUUUAGAGAAAAGGGGAAGGGAGAGAGGGAGACCGAAGGAAACACGCCCAAGGCUACAUACAGCUGGACAGACAGACAGACAGACAGACAGAGAGUGCGAUAAAGUGUGGCUUGGGCAGCAUCAUGCUAAAAAUAAGGAACACAGUUUGAAAUUACCGAUGAAGGACCAAAAAGAAGCAAAUGGACAAAAAUGCCAAGAAAAGGAAUACCCCUAAGGCUCAGCAACUUCCCCUGGGUUCAGGGGCCCCAGUGCAUGCACAGAGUUGCCCUGACCUUCAGAGGCUUCCCUAUUCUCUCUUACACCAUAUGUAUAUAUGAACUCCAUAUGUGAAUUGCAGCACACAUGGAGUUCAGUAUCAGAAAAUAUGUGCUGUUUACUGAUUAAAAAGGAAAGUUGAAGCUUGUCUUGCUUACACCCCCAUUGUAAAACACAUGAAAAUUCCAUAGAAAUCAAUGGAAUUUAACUUGUAUGCAGUGUGCAAUGCAAUCAGUAAUGGAGUGAUGGACUACGAUCAUAAUAAGAACACUUCAAAUCAUGCCGUAUAAACUUCAUUUGAAAACAACAGGACAAGUCAAAAUGCUUUUGGUCAGGUUUGAGGUUUGGUGUCUCUAAAUAUCAUGGCUAUGGCUUUCCAAUUUUCUGCCACCAUCCGUGAAAAAGAAAUGCUAUCUGUAUAUGUGUUUUACUAUGUGAUAUGGUUUACCUAUAUUUAUGGCUGCCUGUCUGUAAAGAUGUGUAACAGACUAGGACAACCUUCAAAUGUGCAUGUAACAAGAUAAAACACAUUUAAAAAAACAUAUGAAGUUUUUUUAUCAUAAAAAAUGUUACCCAUGAUCCAAUCCAUUUGUACUGAUGUGAAUGUGAAAUAUUGAAAAAAAUCAUAAGGUUUUCAUUCUAUCCCAAUUUAUAACGUCAGUGUCUUCACUAAGAA